rnacentral:rRNA from 1 species
GAUGAACGCUGGCGGCGUGCCUAAUACAUGCAAGUAGAACGCUGAAGGAAUGAGCUUGCUCUUUCCGGAUGAGUUGCGAACGGGUGAGUAACGCGUAGGUAACCUUCCUGUUAGCGGGGGAUAACUAUUGGAAACGAUAGCUAAUACCGCAUAACAGUAGAUGUUGCAUGAUAUCUACUUAAAAGGUGCAAUUUCACCACUACCAGAUGGACCUGAGUUGUAGUAGCUAGUUGGUGAGGUAACGGCUCACCAAGGCGACGAUACCUAGCCGAGCUGGGAGGGUGAUCGGCCCAAAUGGGAAUGGGACACGGGCCAGGAUUCUACGGGAGGCAGCAGUAGGGAAUCAUUGGAAAUGGAGGGAAGGCCUGACGAAGAAAGACGGGGGAGUGAAGAAGGGUUUCGGAUUGUAAAGCUCUGUUGUAAGAGAAGAAAGAGCGUGAGGGUGGAAAGUUCACGCUGUGACGGUAUCUAAAGAGAAAGCGACGGCUAACUACGUG